rnacentral:rRNA from 1 species
AUUUCGGUACGUAAAGUUCUUUUAUUAGGGAAGAAUAAAUGAUGGAAAAAUCAUUCUGACGGUACCUAAUGAAUAAGCCCCGGCUAACUAUGUGCCAGCAGCCGCGGUAAUACAUAGGGGGCAAGCGUUAUCCGGAAUUAUUGGGCGUAAAGGGUGCGUAGGCGGUUAAAUAAGUUUAUGGUCUAAGUGCAAUGCUUAACAUUGUGAUGCUAUAAAAACUGUUUAACUAGAGUAAGAUAGAGGCAAGUGGAAUUCCAUGUGUAGUGGUAAAAUGCGUAAAUAUAUGGAGGAACACCAGUAGCGAAGGCGGCUUGCUGGGUCUUUACUGACGCUGAGGCACGAAAGCGUGGGGAGCAAACAGGAUUAGAUACCCUGGUAGUCCACGCCGUAAACGAUGAGUACUAAAUGUUGGGUAAAACCAGUGUUGAAGUUAACACAUUAAGUACUCCGCCUGAGUAGUACGUACGCAAGUAUGAAACUUAAAGGAAUUGACGGGACUCCGCACAAGCGGUGGAUCAUGUUGUUUAAUUCGAAGGUACCCGAAAAACCUCACCAGGUCUUGACAUGCUUCUGCAAAGCUGUAGAAACACAGUGGAGGUUAUCAGUUGCACAGGUGGUGCAUGGUUGUCGUCAGCUCGUGUCGUGAGAUGUUGGGUUAAGUCCCGCAACGAGCGCAACCCUUAUUGUUAGUUGCCAGCACGUAAUGGUGGGGACUUUAGCAAGACUGCCAGUGAUAAAUUGGAGGAAGGUGGGGACGACGUCAAAUCAUCAUGCCCCUUAUGACCUGGGCUACAAACGUGAUACAAUGGCUGUUAC